CCAGACUCCUACGGGAGGCAGCAGUGGGGGAUAUUGCACAAUGGGGGAAACCCUGAUGCAGCGACGCCGCGUGUGGGAAGACGGUCCUCUGGAUUGUAAACCACUGUCCCCAGGGACGAAGAUGACGGUACCUGGGGAGGAAGCUCCGGCUAACUACGUGCCAGCAGCCGCGGUAAUACGUAGGGAGCAAGCGUUGUCCGGAUUUACUGGGUGUAAAGGGAGCGCAGGCGGCACGCUAAGCCUGAUGUGAAAACCCGCGGCCCAACCGCGGGAGUGCAUUGGGAACUGGCGAGCUAGAGUACCGGAGGGGCAGGCGGAAUUCCUAGUGUAGCGGUGAAAUGCGUAGAUAUUAGGAGGAACACCAGUGGCGAAGGCGGCCUGCUGGACGGAGACUGACGCUGAGGCUCGAAAGCGUGGGGAGCAAACAGGAUUAGAUACCCUCGUAC
rnacentral:rRNA from 1 species